UACAGAGGUCUCAAGCGUUGUUCGGAAUCAUUGGGCGUAAAGAGCGUGUAGGCGGCUUGGCAAGUCUGACGUGAAAGCCCGCGGCUCAACCGCGGAUUGUCGUUGGAAACUGCCUCGCUAGAGUCCGGAAGAGGAGAGCGGAAUUCCUGGUGUAGCGGUGGAAUGCGCAGAUAUCAGGAAGAACACCCGUGGCGAAGGCGGCUCUCUGGGACGGUACUGACGCUGAGACGCGAAAGCGUGGGGAGCGAACAGG
rnacentral:rRNA from 1 species